rnacentral:rRNA from 1 species
AGCAGCCGCGGUAAUUCCAGCUCCAAUAGCGUAUAUUAAAGUUGUUGCAGUUAAAAAGCUCGUAGUUGAAUUUCGGGAUUGACGUGAUGGUCGUGCCUUACGGGGUAUGAACUGUUGCUGUUGAUUUCUCACCUUCUGGAGAAACUUGAUGUCCUUAAUUGGGUGUCUUGCGGAUCCAGGACCUUUACCUUGAAAAAAUUAGAGUGUUUAAAGCAGGCAUUUUUGCUCGAAUACAUUAGCAUGGAAUAAUAGAAUAGGACGGCAUGGUUCUAUUUUGUUGGUUUCUAGGAUCACCGUAAUGAUUAAUAGGGAUAGUUGGGGGCAUUAGUAUUCAAUUGUCAGAGGUGAAAUUCUUGGAUUUAUUGAAGACUAACUACUGCGAAAGCAUUUGCCAAGGAUGUUUUCAUUAAUCAAGAACGAAAGUUAGGGGAUCGAAGACGAUCAGAUACCGUCGUAGUCUUAACCAUAAACUAUGCCGACUAGGAAUCAGACGAUGUUAAUUUUUUAAUGACUCGUUUGGCACCUUACG